rnacentral:rRNA from 1 species
AACGAACGUUAGCGGCGCGCUUAACACAUGCAAGUCGAACGAGAAAGGGCUUCGGCCCCGGGUACAGUGGCGCACGGGUGAGUAACACGUGGGUAAUCUACCCUCGAGCGGGGGAUAACGUUCCGAAAGGAGCGCUAAUACCGCAUAAGACCACGCUCUCGAAAGGGAGCGAGGUAAAAGUAGGCCUCUGAAUUCACGCUUACACUCGAGGAUGAGCCCGNGGCCCAUCAUGGUAGUUGGUAGGGUAAUGGCCUACCAAGCCGAAGACGGGUAGCUGGUCUUAGAGGAUGAUCAGCCACACUGGAACUGAGACACGGUCCAGACUCCUACGGGAGGCAGCAGUGGGGAAUCUUGCGCAAUGGGCGAAAGCCUGACGCAGCGACGCCGCGUGGGUGAUGAAGGCCUCGGUCGUAAAGCUCUGUGGGAGAGACGGAAUAAGACGUGGCGUAAU